rnacentral:misc_RNA from 1 species
GAUGAAGAACGUAGCGAAAUGCGAUAAGUAAUGUGAAUUGCAGAAUUCAGUGAAUCAUCGAAUCUUUGAACGCAUCUUGCGCUCCUUGGUAUUCUGAGGAGCAUGCCUGUUUGAGUGUCAUUAAAUUCUCAACUACACUGACUUUGAAUUGGUGUGGCUUGGAUUUGGGGGGAAAAUUGUUGUGGGCUUUUUGUAUAGUCUGCUCCCCUGAAAUUGAUUAGCGGUACCUUUGUGGAACUGUCUACAGGUGUGAUAAUUAUCUACAUCUUAGACAUCUGCUGGAAUGCUGCUCUCUAAACCUUACUUGUAUUGACAAUCUUGACCUCAAAUCAGGUAGGAUUACCCGCUGAACUUAAGCAUAUCAAUAAGCGGAGGA